rfam:Gossypium hirsutum cultivar TM-1 chromosome 20, whole genome shotgun sequence
AAACCAUGCAUUGGACAUUUUAUAAGUAAUUCCUUGAAUCGCUCCCAAGCUACAUAUAGUGGUUCAUCCUCCAAUUUCUAAAAAUAUGUGAUGUCAUUCCUAAACUU